rnacentral:rRNA from 1 species
AGAGGGGGACCUUCGGGCCUCUCGCGUCAGGAUAUGCCCAGGUGGGAUUAGCUAGUUGGUGAGGUAAAGGCUCACCAAGGCGACGAUCCCUAGCUGGUCUGAGAGGAUGAUCAGCACACUGGAACUGAGACACGGUCCAGACUCCUACGGGAGGCAGCAGUGGGGAAUAUUGCACAAUGGGCGCAAGCCUGAUGCAGCCAUGCCGCGUGUGUGAAGAAGGCCUCGGGUUGUAAAGCACUUUCAGUCGUGAGGAAGGUGGUGUAGUUAAUAGCUGCAUUAUUUGACGUUAGCGACAGAAGAAGCACCGGCUAACUCCGUGCCAGCAGCCGCGGUAAUACGGAGGGUGCGAGCGUUAAUCGGAAUUACUGGGCGUAAAGCGCAUGCAGGUGGUUUGUUAAGUCAGAUGUGAAAGCCCGGGGCUCAACCUCGGAAUAGCAUUUGAAACUGGCGAACUAGAGUACUGUAGAGGGGGGUAGAAUUUCAGGUGUAGCGGUGAAAUGCGUAGAGAUCUGAAGGAAUACCGGUGGCGAAGGCGGCCCCCUGGACAGAUACUGACACUCAGAUGCGAAAGCGUGGGGAGCAAACAGGAUUAGAUACCCUGGUAGUCCACGCCGUAAACGAUGUCUACUUGGAGGUUGUGGCCUUGAGCCGUGGCUUUCGGAGCUAACGCGUUAAGUAGACCGCCUGGGGAGUACGGUCGCAAGAUUAAAACUCAAAUGAAUUGACGGGGGCCCGCACAAGCGGUGGAGCAUGUGGUUUAAUUCGAUGCAACGCGAAGAACCUUACCUACUCUUGACAUCCAUAGAACUUAGCAGAGAUGCUUUGGUGCCUUCGGGAACUAUGAGACAGGUGCUGCAUGGCUGUCGUCAGCUCGUGUUGUGAAAUGUUGGGUUAAGUCCCGCAACGAGCGCAACCCUUAUCCUUGUUUGCCAGCACUUCGGGUGGGAACUCCAGGGAGACUGCCGGUGAUAAACCGGAGGAAGGUGGGGACGACGUCAAGUCAUCAUGGCCCUUACGAGUAGGGCUACACACGUGCUACAAUGGCGCAUACAGAGGGCGGCCAACUUGCGAAAGUGAGCGAAUCCCAAAAAGUGCGUCGUAGUCCGGAUUGGAGUCUGCAACUCGACUCCAUGAAGUCGGAAUCGCUAGUAAUCGUGGAUCAGAAUGCCACGGUGAAUACGUUCCCGGGCCUU